AAGUCGUAACAAGGUCUCCGUUGGUGAACCAGCGGAGGGAUCAUUACUGAGUACUACACUCUCUACCCUUUGUGAACUAUUAUACCUGUUGCUUCGGCGGCGCCCGCAAGGGUGCCCGCCGGUCUCAUCAGAAUCUCUGUUUUCGAACCCGACGAUACUUCUGAGUGUUCUUAGCGAACUGUCAAAACUUUUAACAACGGAUCUCUUGGCUCCAGCAUCGAUGAAGAACGCAGCGAAACGCGAUAUGUAAUGUGAAUUGCAGAAUUCAGUGAAUCAUCGAAUCUUUGAACGCACAUGGCGCCUUCCAGUAUCCUGGGAGGCAUGCCUGUCCGAGCGUCGUUUCAACCCUCGAGCCCCUGUGGCCCGGCGUUGGGGAUCUGCCACGGCAGGCCCCUAAAACCAGUGGCGGACCCGAAGGGCCCUCUCCUUUGCGCAGUAGCAUUCGCCUCGCAUCGGGAGUCCUCGGCGUCCUGCCUCUAAACCCCCACAAGCCCGCUUCGGCGGCACCAAGGUUGACCUCGGAUCAGGUAGGAAUACCCGCUGAACUUAA
rnacentral:rRNA from 1 species